UCGAACGCUUUGUGGUUCAACUGAUUUGAAGAGCUUGCUCAGAUAUGACGAUGGACAUUGCAAAGAGUGGCGAACGGGUGAGUAACACGUGGGAAACCUACCUCUUAGCAGGGGAUAACAUUUGGAAACAGAUGCUAAUACCGUAUAACAAUGACAACCGCAUGGUUGUUAUUUAAAAGAUGGUUCUGCUAUCACUAAGAGAUGGUCCCGCGGUGCAUUAGCUAGUUGGUAAGGUAAUGGCUUACCAAGGCGAUGAUGCAUAGCCGAGUUGAGAGACUGAUCGGCCACAAUGGGACUGAGACACGGCCCAUACUCCUACGGGAGGCAGCAGUAGGGAAUCUUCCACAAUGGGCGAAAGCCUGAUGGAGCAACGCCGCGUGUGUGAUGAAGGGUUUCGGCUCGUAAAACACUGUUGUAAGAGAAGAAUGACAUUGAGAGUAACUGUUCAAUGUGUGACGGUAUCUUACCAGAAAGGAACGGCUAAAUACGUGCCAGCAGCCGCGGUAAUACGUAUGUUCCAAGCGUUAUCCGGAUUUAUUGGGCGUAAAGCGAGCGCAGACGGUUAUUUAAGUCUGAAGUGAAAGCCCUCAGCUCAACUGAGGAAUUGCUUUGGAAACUGGAUGACUUGAGUGCAGUAGAGGAAAGUGGAACUCCAUGUGUAGCGGUGAAAUGCGUAGAUAUAUGGAAGAACACCAGUGGCGAAGGCGGCUUUCUGGACUGUAACUGACGUUGAGGCUCGAAAGUGUGGGUAGCAAACAGGAUUAGAUACCCUGGUAGUCCACACCGUAAACGAUGAGUGCUAGGUGUUUGAGGGUUUCCGCCCUUAAGUGCCGCAGCUAACGCAUUAAGCACUCCGCCUGGGGAGUACGACCGCAAGGUUGAAACUCAAAGGAAUUGACGGGGACCCGCACAAGCGGUGGAGCAUGUGGUUUAAUUCGAAGCAACGCGAAGAACCUUACCAGGUCUUGACAUCCCUUGACAACUCCAGAGAUGGAGCGUUCCCUUCGGGGACAAGGUGACAGGUGGUGCAUGGUUGUCGUCAGCUCGUGUCGUGAGAUGUUGGGUUAAGUCCCGCAACGAGCGCAACCCUUAUUACUAGUUGCCAGCAUUCAGUUGGGCACUCUAGUGAGACUGCCGGUGACAAACCGGAGGAAGGUGGGGAUGACGUCAAAUCAUCAUGCCCCUUAUGACCUGGGCUACACACGUGCUACAAUGGCGUAUACAACGAGUUGCCAACCCGCGAGGGUGAGCUAAUCUCUUAAAGUACGUCUCAGUUCGGAUUGUAGGCUGCAACUCGCCUACAUGAAGUCGGAAUCGCUAGUAAUCGCGGAUCAGCACGCCGCGGUGAAUACGUUCCCGGGUCUUGUACACACCGCCCGUCACACCAUGAGAGUUUGUAACACCCAAAGCCGGUGGGGUAACCUUCGGGAGCCAGCC
rnacentral:rRNA from 1 species